rnacentral:rRNA from 1 species
UAGAGUUUGAUCCUGGCUCAGAAUGAACGUUGGCGGCGUGGAUUAGGCAUGCAAGUCGAGCGUGAUAGGUUUGGUGCUUGCAUUGAACCUUGAAAGCGGCGAAAGGGACAGUAACGCGUAGAUACCUACCUCAAGGUCUGGGAUAGCGGCGGGAAACUGCCGGUAAUACCGGAUAAUGUCUUCGGACCAAAGGUGUGAUUCCGCCUGGAGACGGAUCUGCGUCCUAUUAGCUAGUUGGCGGGGUAAUGGCCCACCAAGGCGAUGAUGGGUAGCGGGCGUGAGAGCGUGGCCCGCGUCACUGGGACUGAGACACUGCCCAGACACCUACGGGUGGCUGCAGUCGAGAAUCUUUGGCAAUGGGCGCAAGCCUGACCGAGCGACGCCGCGUGCGGGAUGAAGGCCUUCGGGUUGUAAAGCUCUGUCGGAGGGAACGAAUGCUCUUGAGGUUAACAGCCUCGAGAGGUGACGGUACCCUCAAAGGAAGCACCGGCUAACUCUGUGCCAGCAGCCCCGGUCAA